GACGAACGCUGGCGGCGUGCUUAACACAUGCAAGUCGAGCGGUAAGGCCCUUUCGGGGGUACGACGAGCGGCGAACGGGUGAGUAACACGUGGGUGACCUGCCCUCAGCUCUGGGAUAAGCCUGGGAAACCGGGUCUAAUACCGGAUAUGACUCCAUGACGCAUGUUGUGGGGUGGAAAGCCUUGUGCGGCUGAGGAUGGGCCCGCGGCCUAUCAGCUUGUUGGUGGGGUGAUGGCCUACCAAGGCGACGACGGGUAGCCGGCCUGAGAGGGCGACCGGCCACACUGGGACUGAGACACGGCCCAGACUCCUACGGGAGGCAGCAGUGGGGAAUCUUGCGCAAUGGGCGAAAGCCUGACGCAGCGACGCCGCGUGAGGGAUGACGGCCUGGUGUAAC
rnacentral:rRNA from 1 species